GGUGCAACGGACGACGAUAAAGCAUCAAAGGAUGACGACAAAGCAUCAAAGGAUGAUGGCAGCAUCAGAGAUGAUGGAAAGCAAGAUUUUGAUGAAGCACCAUCACCUAAAGACGAGGCUGGUGAUAAUUAUCAAGGCACACCACGCAGUACGCAAUCGGGCACACAAUCCAGCUCUGAGUUUAGCGGAUUGUCACCGAUUACACCAGCAAAUCGGUACGGGCUUCCGGGAGGUGUGACACUACUGGACUUAAUGGCUACACCGCCCGAUAGGAAGCCUUUGAUCUUUGAACCACCUGAGUUCCUCGAUGUGCCGCUUGUGCCCAAUGAGAAGGAAGUCUUCAAUGAUAUUGUC